rnacentral:rRNA from 1 species
CGCACGGGUGAGUAACACGUAUCCAACCUGCCGUCUACUCUUGGCCAGCCUUCUGAAAGGAAGAUUAAUCCAGGAUGGCAUCAUGAGUUCACAUGUCCGCAUGAUUAAAGGUAUUUUCCGGUAGACGAUGGGGAUGCGUUCCAUAGAUAGUAGGCGGGGUAACGGCCCACCUAGUCAACGAUGGAUAGGGGUUCUGAGAGGAAGGUCCCCCACAUUGGAACUGAGACACGGUCCAA